UUGAGUUGAGUUGAGUUGAGUUUACAAGUUCUGUGAUCAAACUAUCAAUUUUUUUAAUGUUGAUAACAAAGUUAGAAUUGACAUCUGAAGUUGGUAGUUAUUCAACGAGGUGCUACCUAAAGCUGUUUUAAUGCAUUUGCAUCUGUUAGAAUCUAGCUUAUUAUAUAGAACAGAAGGAUAAUCAUUCGAAACAGUGCUUAUCUGGACACAGCUGUAUAGGCUGCAUACUUCUAGAAUGGAGUGGUCAAAUGCAUGGACACUAGUAUUUCCUGGAUGGUUCUGCAUAUAUGUGAACAUUGGCAAGGCAGGUGAUCAUGAGCAUAAUCAUGGGAAGAGCAAUAAGUCUUAAUUGAUGAUAUUGACUCUGAUAUGGAAUAUUAACAGGUUUGUGAUAUUAAAUUGAACAUAUGCUAUCUUUUUUAACAACAGACUUUGUUCAAGAACUGCCACAUCAAUGUAUCUAUAUUAAAUUGCUCUCAUAUCCAUUGUCCACAUAUUUAUUCCUUUACUGCUGUUUGUUUCUUUGAAAUGAUGGAUCGCGCCGUAAAUUAUAUUCAUGGUCACUAGACUUUUCUCUUAGUUAUAAUUUGGUCUUAUAUCUCUAAUUUGUAUCAAUUUGGUCAUUAAACUUCACUUUAUUCUUAACCAAAUUAAACUGACUAGAAUUGGUUGCAGACCCACUGGAAAGUUGAUUUGGCUGCCAUAUUUGAGAGAGAAAAUGGAGAAAGGAAAAAAAAAAUGACAUUGAGACAAAGAAAAAGAGAUAAGUGGUAGCCACGUCAUCUUUUGGCAAGCCUUUCACUGGAUUAUGGUGAGAUUAGUUCAACUGGGACUAAAUUGAAGUUUGAUGAACAAAUAAAUCCAAAUUAAAGAUUUGUGACUACAUUGAACUUUAGUACAAAUUUCAGGGACCACAAGUUUAAUUUAGCCCACUAAGCAAGGGUUUCAUGCUAAUGUCUAACCUUUGAGGACUGCGUUCUUCUUUCUAAAAUAACAGUUCCCUCCUAUAAAUAAAGAUGAGGAUGAGACUCUUGUGACUUGAGUAGUCAACGCCCAAGAGUUAUAUUGAAGGCUUAAUAGAAAUUGAGUUGUUAAGAAGUUCUUCUUUCUGGCUUCUCUUGAACGUUUGGAUUGUGGAAUUGUCUGAAUAUUUAUGUUAAACAAAUUUGUGAUUCACUAUUAAUUCUUACCUCUGUAUUAAGUAUUCACUUCACAUAUAAGUCUGUUGUUGAUAAUGACAUGAAUAUUUAAGAAAUCUGGUCAUGUUUUUUACCUAUACUCCAUGAUUCUUCCACUUUCUAAUUCUGUCUUUUGCAGAUGUUGCACUUGUAACUUCUUUGAGGGAUGGAAUGAAUCUUGUCAGUUAUGAAUUUGUGGCAUGCCAAGAUUCAAAGAAAGGCGUUCUCAUUCUUAGUG
rnacentral:misc_RNA from 1 species